UACAGAGGGUGCGAGCGUUAAUCGGAAUUACUGGGCGUAAAGGGCGCGUAGGCGGUUGGACAAGUGAGAUGUGAAAUCCCCGGGCUUAACCCGGGAACUGCAUUUCAGACUGUCCGGCUGGAGUACUGUAGAGGGUAGUGGAAUUUCCGGUGUAGCGGUGAAAUGCGUAGAGAUCGGAAGGAACACCAGUGGCGAAGGCGGCUACCUGGACAGAUACUGACGCUGAGGCGCGAGAGCGUGGGGAGCAAACAGG
rnacentral:rRNA from 1 species